CAUGGGCUGAGCUCUGCUGGUGCCCCAGACUCAGGCUGCAUGCCCAGGCUGCAGUCCAAAGGGUACUCAGUGCAGGUCCCUUUGCCCCACAGUGGCCUGGAUCAGCUGAGCUGCUGUGGCUACAGCUUCUUCCAUUUCUUGAGUAACUGGGGGGUGUAUCAUUUUCAAAUCUUUUCAGACAAUCCCUGGUGACUCCUGGCAGUGGGUGGUUAUCAUGGUGAUCUCCAGAGGGCCCAAGGCCUUGCCCCCAAGCAGCACCCAGCAAUCCCUGCGCCCACCCAGGCACUAAGCGUUUGUGGUGGGCCUUUUUCUGGAAGCUCACCUUCUCCUCCUGUUUGUCCUCCGUCUUCUUCAACCCGGUACUUCUGGCUAUCCUCCUUGUCAUCACAAUGGGACCACUGAGUGCUGGACACUCAGAAGCCACCAUGGAGACCUCGAGUCCUUCCCAGGCCUGGCCAACAGGGUGGGGAAUUGUAGAGAAGUCAUCUUCUGCCUCCUGAAGGCUGCUAGCAUCAGGGCUUGACACACUGAGGCUGGCAGCGGCCUUCUGAAGGCCAGAGGAGAUGGCCCAGGACACAAGGCUGAAGCAACCUGUUUGAGCCAAAAAUCUGCUUAUGUCCUCCUGAAUUUCAGCAAAUUUCCAAAGGAUCUGUCAGAAUCCUGCCCUUUUUUCUGUCUCCAGACCAAAGUCCUCCAGGAAAUGCAGCUGCUUCAGUGACAAGAGAUAAUUGUCAUCUACUGACUGAGGAGGAAUUUGUGGUUUGAAGUGUGACACAGUCAGAAUAAAAGCUGGUCCCUCCGUUUGGGGUUCCUGACUUCCUGCAACAAUAAGGAUACAAAUGUGCACACAGAGAAAUAGCCACAUGAAGAAACAAGGAGAAGGCAGCCACAUACAAGCCCAGGAGGGAGGCCUCAGGGAAAACAAACACUACUCACACCUUGAUCUUGGACUUCAUCCUCCAGAUGAAGUCCUUCACCCUCCUUCAUCAGUUGGAAGCUUUUGAUUCUGAAUACUCUUCAAAUGCUGGAAGGCCUUGCGUUUUCUGCCAUGAUUGUGAAGCGUCCUCAGCCACGUGGAACUGUUCACACAUGUUGGCUAUGUAAUGUGUUGAUUGAAUGUGACUGUCCCCCAAGCACCCAAAAAUCUCUUCUUGACUGACUCCAAGAUGAAGAGAACAUCUUUGAGGCAUGGAAUCCCAGUGAGCAUCCUGCACUCUCAGUGUCCAGCUGCCUGAAGCCACAGUUGUUUUGGAAGAUUGAGAACAAUUGCUUUUUGCUGAGGAGACUUAGCAAUCCACAGCUGAGGAGUUCUGCAAUAAAAUGCCUGCUUCCACUACCAGAUGGUAUCUAUAUUGGGACAAAAUUAAAUUUAUUAAUUACUUCUAAAAA